CCAUUCCUAAAGCUGCUAAAUUAACCUUAAUUUUCUCCCUGUACACAUAGCCAACAAUACAUUAAUGUUCGAUCUUAAUGCUGAUAUAUUACAAGCUAGAUCAGCUGAUCUGUUGUAGAUAGAAAGAGGGUUUUGUUUCUUCUUCAGUAUUCACCAAUCACCAUGUCUUCUUCUUCUAGGGUGCAAAAUAUCCUGUUAACGUUUUGGCUGUGUUGUCCAUUUGUGGAUAUCUUCAAGGUGCAAAUGCUGCAAGCUCCACAGUGAAUGUUGGGAAUAUAUAUAUAAAGUUAUUAUGAAUGUUGUUGAUGGCAAGAGCUAUCUUUUGAAACACUAUAAGAUAAAAAAAAAUUAAUUGAGUGCAAAUGACAGCGAGCAGAGUGGAUAAAGUUCUUGGGAGUUUCUGUAAAUCUUGAGACGAGAGCCAACAAAGUCUAUGAUGCAAUCAAAGAGAAUUACUUCAAAUCAAUAGUAGCUUGGAUUCAGUAUGAUAAUGUUAGUUUAGCAUAAGACAUGAACAUGCAUAUGCUCGUGUUCCUUCAAUUCAAUGUUCUAGGGUAUCUUUGGUUAUGUUAGGCUCAACAAUUUUCAGAGCGUAUGGUCUCUUGCAAAGGAAACAUACAAGUUGACGGUAACAGAAGACAAAUUUAAACACUUAUGUGGAAGAUGCAGGUGGAGAAAAUACUGACAACUCUAUGAAUAAGAUCACCUGCAACACCUCAAACCCUGAUGGUUUGGAAGAAUUGCAUGCAAUUCUAUGUGAGAAGGGAUUGUAAGCAUUGAUGCCAAUAUGCGUAACAGAGAUAUCUCCACUUCCUUGGAACCCACAAUACUUGCUUGCUAAUGACCACAACAGCACACAUCAAGUCCUUUAUUCUAUUUGUAUCAGC